rnacentral:rRNA from 1 species
UACAGAGGUCCCGAGCGUUGUUCGGAUUUACUGGGCGUAAAGGGUGCGUAGGCGGUGGCGCGUGUCGGAUGUGAAAUCUCCGGGCUCAACCCGGAAAGUGCGUCCGAAACUGCAUCACUAGAGUGUGGGACGGGAGAUCGGAAUAUAGGGUGUAGCGGUGAAAUGCGUUGAUAUCCUAUAGAACACCGGUGGCGAAGGCGGAUCUCUGGAACACAACUGACGCUCAGGCACGAAAGUCGGGGGAGCAAAC